UAGGGAAUCUUCGGCAAUGGGGGGAACCCUGACCGAGCAACGCCGCGUGAGUGAAGAAGGUUUUCGGAUCGUAAAGCUCUGUUGUUAAGGAAGAACGAGUGUGAGAAUGGAAAGUUCAUGCUGUGAAGGUACUUAACCAGAAAGGGACGGCUAACUACGUGCCAGCAGCCGCGGUAAUACGUAGGUCCCGAGCGUUGUCCGGAUUUAUUGGGCGUAAAGCGAGCGCAGGCGGUUAGAAAAGUCUGAAGUGAAAGGCAGUGGCUCAACCAUUGUAGGCUUUGGAAACUGUUUAACUGGAGUGCAGAAGGGGAGAGUGGAAUUCCAUGUGUAGCGGUGAAAUGCGUAGAUAUAUGGAGGAACACCGGUGGCGAAAGCGGCUCUCUGGUCUAUAACUGACGAUGAGGCUCGAAAGCGUGGGGAGCGAACAGG
rnacentral:rRNA from 1 species